rnacentral:rRNA from 1 species
UUGACCUCGGAUCAGGUAGGGAUACCCGCUGAACUUAAGCAUAUCAAUAAGCGGAGGAAAAGAAACCAACAGGGAUUGCCCUAGUAACGGCGAGUGAAGCGGCAACAGCUCAAAUUUGAAAUCUGGCUCUUUCAGAGUCCGAGUUGUAAUUUGCAGAGGGCGCUUUGGCUUUGGCAGCGGUCCAAGUUCCUUGGAACAGGACGUCACAGAGGGUGAGAAUCCCGUACGUGGUCGCUAGCUAUUGCCGUGUAAAGCCCCUUCGACGAGUCGAGUUGUUUGGGAAUGCAGCUCUAAAUGGGAGGUAAAUUUCUUCUAAAGCUAAAUAUUGGCCAGAGACCGAUAGCGCACAAGUAGAGUGAUCGAAAGAUGAAAAGCACUUUGGAAAGAGAGUCAAACAGCACGUGAAAUUGUUGAAAGGGAAGCGCUUGCAGCCAGACUUGCUUGCAGUUGCUCAUCCGGGCUUUUGCCCGGUGCACUCUUCUGUAGGCAGGCCAGCAUCAGUUUGGGCGGUGGGAUAAAGGUCUCUGUCACGUACCUCUCUUCGGGGAGGCCUUAUAGGGGAGACGACAUACCACCAGCCUAGACUGAGGUCC